rnacentral:rRNA from 1 species
GCAACGAGCGCAACCCUUGCCUUAGUUGCCAGCAGUUCGGCUGGGCACUCUAAAGGGACUGCCGGUGUUAAACCGGAGGAAGGUGGGGAUGACGUCAAGUCCUCAUGGCCUUUAUGACCAGGGCUACACACGUACUACAAUGGCCGAUACAAAGGGCAGCGACACUGCGAGGUGAAGCCAAUCCCGUAAAAUCGGUCUCAGUCCGGAUUGGAGUCUGCAACUCGACUCCAUGAAGUUGGAAUCGCUAGUAAUCGUGGAUCAGCAUGCCACGGUGAAUACGUUCCCGGGCCUU